rnacentral:rRNA from 1 species
UACGGAGGGGGCUAGCGUUGUUCGGAAUUACUGGGCGUAAAGCGCACGUAGGCGGCUUUGUAAGUUAGAGGUGAAAGCCCAGGGCUUAACCCUGGAAUUGCCUUUAAGACUGCAUCGCUAGAAUUGUGGAGAGGUAAGUGGAAUUCCGAGUGUAGAGGUGAAAUUCGUAGAUAUUCGGAAGAACACCAGUGGCGAAGGUGACUUACUGGACACAUAUUGACGCUGAGGUGCGAAAGCGUGGGGAGCAAACAGG